rnacentral:rRNA from 1 species
AAGAGACAGCAGCAGCCGCGGUAACACAGAGGGUGCGAGCGUUAAUCGGAUUUACUGGGCGUAAAGCGUGCGUAGGCGGCUUCUUAAGUCGGAUGUGAAAUCCCUGAGCUUAACUUAGGAAUUGCAUUCGAUACUGGGAAGCUAGAGUAUGGGAGAGGAUGGUAGAAUUCCAGGUGUAGCGGUGAAAUGCGUAGAGAUCUGGAGGAAUACCGAUGGCGAAGGCAGCCAUCUGGCCUAAUACUGACGCUGAGGUACGAAAGCAUGGGGAGCAAACAGGAUUAGAGACCCGCGUAGUCCCUGUCUCUUAUAC